GGCUCUGUGGCACAAUGGAUAGUGCAUUGGACUUCUAGAGAAUGAAGAGAUUCAAAGGUUCUGGGUUCGAGUCCCAGCAGAGUCA
rnacentral:tRNA from 1 species